rnacentral:rRNA from 1 species
AUGAACGCUAGCGAUAGGCUUAACCCAUGCAAGUCGAGGGGCAGCAUGGUCUUAGCUUGCUAAGACUGAUGGCGACCGGCGCACGGGUGCGUAACGCGUAUGCAACUUGCCUCACAGAGGGGGAUAACCCGUCGAAAGACGGACUAAUACCGCGUACACUCCAUCUUGGGCAUCCAAGGUAGAGGAAAUGAAAUUCGCUGUGAGAUAGGCAUGCGUCCCAUUAGCUAGUUGGUGAGGUAACGGCUCACCAAGGCGACGAUGGGUAGGGGAACUGAGAGGUUGAACCCCCACACUGGUACUGAGACACGGACCAGACUACUACGGGAGGCAGCAGUGAGGAAUAUUGGUCAAUGGGCGAGAGCCUGAACCAGCCAAGUCGCGUGAAGGUUGACUGUCUUAUGGAUGGUAAACUUCUUUUAUACGGGAAUAACAAGAGUCACGUGUGACUCCCUGCAUGUACCGUAUGAAUAAGCAUCGGCUAACUCCGUG